AGUCAAGUAGUAAUGAUUUUCUGAGUGCACGAGUUGCUACAAUAUUGAGGAUGUUGACUUCCAGAGACCAUAUGACCAUGGACAAGGCACAUGAUGUGGCUGCACUUUAUAGUAGAAUGAUGAACAAUUAAAUGGCUUUGCCAGUCAUCAACUAAAAACGUUGAGGUUCUGUCAACUGAAAAUGUUGAGGUUCUGUUAAAACAUAUUGAUCAUGAUAUGCAUAAUUUUGGAAAUCUACAGUGAGGUCAGUCCGCACCGUGAUGAGCAAUUUCCCCAACAAGCACAACCGUCUAUACAUGGAAACUUCUAUAAUGGAAGAGGGGCUUGCUGGGGCCAUUGAUGAAGAGCGAAUAUGUUAAAUAUAUGUCAUUAGAACUCCAGUUUCAUGGGUUUACAUUAUUUUGAUUUUGCGUCACUAUGAAUUAUGACAUUAUAACUCCAUCCUAUGUCAUUAUUGGUUUUCUGAUUUUCUUCUAUCA